UACGUAGGGCGCAAGCGUUGUCCGGAAUUAUUGGGCGUAAAGAGCUCGUAGGCGGCUUGUCACGUCGGUUGUGAAAGCCCGGGGCUUAACCCCGGGUCUGCAGUCGAUACGGGCAGGCUAGAGUUCGGUAGGGGAGAUCGGAAUUCCUGGUGUAGCGGUGAAAUGCGCAGAUAUCGGGAGGAACACCAGUAGCGAAGGCGGCACUCUGGGCCGGUACUGACGCUGAGGAGCGAAAGCGUGGGGAGCAAACAGG
rnacentral:rRNA from 1 species